rnacentral:rRNA from 1 species
GUGCACCAGGCGCGAAUCCUCCGCAAUGCGCGAAAGCGCGACAGGGCCACCCCGAGUGCCGCCCGCUGAGGGCGGCUUUUCCCCGGUGUAGACAGCCGGGGGAAUAAGGGGAGGGCAAGUCUGGUGUCAGCCGCCGCGGUAAUACCAGCUCCCCGAGUGGUGGGGACGAUUAUUGGGCCUAAAGCGUCCGUAGCCGGCCCGGCAAGUCUCCCGUUAAAUCCAGCGAUCUAAUCGCUGGACUGCGGGAGAUACUGUCGGGCUAGGGGGCGGGAGAGGCCGGCGGUAUUCCCGGGGUAGGGGUGAAAUCCUAUAAUCCCGGGAGGACCACCAGUGGCGAAGGCUGCCGGCUGGAACGCGCCCGACGGUGAGGGACGAAAGCCGGGGGAGCGAACCGGAUUAGAUACCCCCGUAGU